UCCUUUAACAGAAAUGCUGGAAACAUCGUCUCCCAGCAACCUCAGACACAACUCGACAUAAAAGAGGUGCUCACAGUGCAGCCUUAAGGCAGAAUGUAACUGUAAUGUCCUGUAGUGUGGCCCAGGGCUGCCUUCCUACUGAUUGGGGUCUGGGAAUGCAGGUCUGAUGGUGCUGCAGGUUUUCCAUGGCAGGUGGUGUUAAGCGAGCCUGUCUGCUAUUUGGGAAGACAGAAGAUACUGUGCCUGCCUCUAUUUCAAGGAUCUUUGAAUUUAACAACAAAUGUUAACCUUGGCUCCAAGAACCACCAUCCUUUGAAAGCUAAAUUAUCAGAUGCAGCGACUACAUAUGGUUACAAUAAAAACAAAUAUUCACAAACAUUACUCGAAACCCUGUGGAAGCUGUGCCUGAGGAAAGCCCAUGAAAAACACCAGAGGCACAACACUUUAAAAACUCAUUUAGGAAUGGAGCAAUACACAAGAAGCAGUGUGAAAUGCUCAUAGUACCAGGCUUGGAUAGCUGGCAAAACUUCACAGGCGACCGUGUCAUCUGGGGACUCAAUGGUAUAAAUUAGGAGAGCAUUUUAUCACAGGCUAGAUUUAUGAAUGUAAUAUUUAUGUCAGGGAGGGAGAGGAGAGAAGAAAUAUAGAUUUUUAAAAUGGUUUUAAAUAUUUUUUGCUUAAAAAAAUCUCAUUAUUUUUUAUCUUUCUAAGCCAGCUGGAUAAAUCAAUAGAAAGCAAAUUUAACUAUUGUAAGAUUUUGGGAAAGACACUUGCAUUUUCUUUUCUUUUAGUGGUUGCAUUCAUUUGCCUGUUUCUGGAAACCCCUGGGGAUGGGAUUUUUUGAGCCUUUUCUCUACACAUUAAUGCCUGGGCUUAUGCAGGUCAACACAGUUCUUUGCAUCCCAAGACUUUCUGGGUAUUCACAUGUGGGAACAGUAUUGAAUCAUAGUGUUUAUAAAGAGGCAUUGGAUGUUCAGAAAAUAAGUAUUAGGCCCCAAAUAUUUUCACCUUAAAAUCACCGUGGAGAACCCAAAUUUUAAGUGACAAAGAAAAGUGUUAGCAUUUGUAACUCUGUCUCCUGAAAUAUUGAAAUUUUCAUGUAAUGUGUCCCUUUCCCUUGUGUCCCCAAGGCUGGCCUUCAACCACAGUGUCUCUGGAUCUUGAAACAUAAGUCUUUGACAACUGCUCUAUGCUGAUUACUUUCCUCCACCCCUUUAAAGAAAAUUAGAGAUGCAGUUUCUAAACCAUAUGGCUCUAUGUUCUAGCUGCUCAGGAAGGAGUUCUUGUCUUCAGGUCCCUAGUCUAUGGAACAACCAUUGAGAUGGUUUGGCCCCUCGGGGU